AUUGAACGCUGGCGGCAUGCCUUACACAUGCAAGUCGAACGGCAGCGGACCUUCGGGUGCCGGCGAGUGGCGAACGGGUGAGUAAUAUAUCGGAACGUACCUUUCAGUGGGGGAUAACGUAGCGAAAGUUACGCUAAUACCGCAUAUUCUGUGAGCAGGAAAGCAGGGGAUCGCAAGACCUUGCGCUGAUUGAGCGGCCGAUAUCAGAUUAGCUAGUUGGUGAGGUAAAGGCUCACCAAGGCGACGAUCUGUAGCGGGUCUGAGAGGAUGAUCCGCCACACUGGAACUGAGACACGGUCCAGACUCCUACGGGAGGCAGCAGUGGGGAAUUUUGGACAAUGGGCGCAAGCCUGAUCCAGCCAUGCCGCGUGAGUGAAGAAAGGCCUCGGUUGUAAGUACGUAC
rnacentral:rRNA from 1 species